rnacentral:rRNA from 1 species
GUGGCGAACGGGUGAGUAACACGUGAGUAACCUGCCCCAGACUCCGGGAUAAGCCUUGGAAACGAGGUCUAAUACUGGAUAUGAGAUGCCCCUGCAUGGGGAGUGUCUGGAAAGAUUUAUCGGUCUGGGAUGGACUCGCGGCCUAUCAGCUUGUUGGUGGGGUAAUGGCCUACCAAGGCGACGACGGGUAGCCGGCCUGAGAGGGCGACCGGCCACACUGGGACUGAGACACGGCCCAGACUCCUACGGGAGGCAGCAGUGGGGAAUAUUGCACAAUGGGCGAAAGCCUGAUGCAGCGACGCCGCGUGAGGGAUGAAGGCCUUCGGGUUGUAAACCUCUUUCAGCAGGGAAGAAGCGCAAGUGACGGUACCUGCAGAAGAAGCGCCGGCUAACUACGUGCCAGCAGCCGCGGUAAUACGUAGGGCGCAAGCGUUGUCCGGAAUUAUUGGGCGUAAAGAGCUCGUAGGCGGUUUGUCGCGUCUGGUGUGAAAACUCAAGGCUCAACCUUGAGCUUGCAUCGGGUACGGGCAGACUAGAGUGCGGUAGGGGUGACUGGAAUUCCUGGUGUAGCGGUGGAAUGCGCAGAUAUCAGGAGGAACACCGAUGGCGAAGGCAGGUCACUGGGCCGCAACUGACGCUGAGGAGCGAAAGCAUGGGGAGCGAACAGGAUUAGAUACCCUGGUAGUCCAUGCCGUAAACGUUGGGCACUAGGUGUGGGGCUCAUUCCACGAGUUCCGUGCCGCAGCAAACGCA